UAUUGGAAUGUGUUGCUUUCAACCUAUCAAGCUGACUCCGCAAAAUAGUGAACAUAACAUGUUUUCUCGUCAAACCGUGUGAAGGGAAUGUGUUAUUCAACCUAUCAAGCUGACUCCGCAAAAUAGUGAACAUAACAUGUUUUCUCGUCAAACCGUGUGAAGGGAAUGUGUUAUUCAACCUUAUCAAGCUGCAAGGUACAGCCUGAAAGGGAGUAAGGAUUCUCGAAGGCCGUAGGCCGUGCGAAACGUCUAAGGGAGAUCCAAACAUUCUCAGAAGCCGUGUGAAACUCGAACGGGAGGGGAAGUUACGAGGCGCGGUACUUGCUAUAAAGAAGCGAUGGCGACAAGUACAAUUAGAGUCCGCUGUGGGAUUACGCGCGGUCGCCCAGCCUUGGUAUUUCUUCGCUCACUAUUACUGAGGACGCCCGGCUCUCCGUCCUUCCAGCACACGCCUGACAAUUGAUAAUGUGAUGUGGAGGCGGUUUAUUGGGACAUCUACUGGGAGAUCGCUACGGCUCUGCAUGGUGGAGGACGCUCGGGGAGUCCGGUGUCCAAGGAAGGUCGUCCCUGCUCCUCUGGACCCCCCCCCCCCCUGCACCCCAGGAGUCAACAAUACAGGAAGGGUUCGCAGGGCUCCCAUGGUGGCUGCAGGAUGCCUCAUCACGGUCACGUCUGAAACACCUGUCGGUCGGUCUGUGGCAUCUCGACAACAAAACGUGUCACUCACGCAAUGGCACUGAGUGGAUGACCGAGGUCACGUCUGACCUAUGGAUCUCGAACAGCACGGAAGUUCGAGGGAUCGGAUGAAUUGCUCCUGUUCCUUUGGAUCCCCCUUCUGGUCCCUUUGCCCCCUUGUUUGCCCCCUUUGUCCCCAGAUUGAAGAAAACGCACACGGAGAUUCACUGGAUCGUCUUGUUUCCCCCUUUCCCCACAUGUGCCGCACGGAAACAGCGUGCAGGGUACGACACCCUUCUGGGUGGAACCGGAACAGUGUUAAGCAUCUCUAACACGAUUGAUGGAGAAGUCACCAGAACUAUGUUGUCUAACACCGGAAGUGACAUUGCGCACAAGACCGUAGGGCUUUGGAUGCCCACAUCUAUCGCGCCUCAUGAAGCGGCGUGUUUAUUCUUAGCACAAUUGUCAUGGGAUAAAGGGAUGUGGGAUGCAACACAAGAAGUAUUAACACCUAUAAUUGAUACAUGUACACCUUUGACACAAUCAGUGAUAACUACGAAAAUGCACUGGAAAGUUGUAUUCCCUGUUUUUCCAUCGUGUGCUCGGAGGAAGAGAGAAUGGUAUGACACAUUGUUAGGGGGAACGGGAACGUUAUUGGGGAUAUCUAAUACCGUGGAUAAUGAAGUAACGCGAUAUAAAUUAGCUGGGACCAGACAGGGAACUCAUGAUGCCUUACUAAAAGUAGGAAUGUGGCUUCCUUAUUCAAUCGUGGGACAAAAAGAAAUGUAUUUAAAAGGGAAUUAAACAUGUGGAACGCCACUAGUGAAGUGUUAACCAACGUAACUAAACAGCUAAACUGGAUCAUAUGUAGUAUACAACACUUACAUGCACAGGCGCAAAAAGAGCGUUUUGUACGAAUGAUGACUACAGGGAAUUACCGGGAGUGGCGAAGUGUUUGGAAUAUAUCCUCUGAGUUAUGGUUACAGUUACAUUCGGAAUAUACGAUUUGUAAUACGACCGAAUGUAGGGGAUAUUGGACACAAUACACAGUAACCUCAAACGUUACCGUAUGUAAAUUCCAGGUAUUACCCGUAAUAACUGAACUAGGCUAUUGGUUUUUGCAUAUAGAAGGUGAAUGGUUUAAUUCGGGAACGAACCAAACCUUUAAUACCGAUCUUUGCGAGAACACAGAUAAAGGACUAGCUUGUAAAUUGCAUCACGAAUUUGUUAAUCCUUGCUUAACAAAAGUAGACUUCGCCUUAUGCGAUUGGUCAAGGGAACCGAGUAGGGACAUUUUGUGGCAGGUGGGACCACAUACCCUUUGUGUGGCCACUGCCCAAAAUCACUCCAUGUUGCCAACGGUUCCAUUUGUAGGAUGCCUAUGUAAUGUUCGUUUCUUUCAGUGGGGAAACGGGACGUAUUGGUUGACAAAUUACACAGUUGCUAGCCGGUUUACGGCUGUGUAAUGGGAAGUGUUACAUACACCAUGGCAAAUCUCUUUGGAGCGUUUCAAAUGCGCAUUGGAACAAUCCACUGAGAUAAAGAAAUUGAUUAACACAUGCGUCCAAUGUUUCCCAGCUGAUGGUAUCAACAUUAAUGGCUAAAGGAGAAAUUUUGCAUGCUGCUAAAAUUAUUCAGCAACAAUCUGCUCAUCAUUGGUGGGACAUAUUUACAGGAUUAUCACAAACUGCUAGAGUAACGCUGCUUCCACCAAUGAUUUUAGUCUUAAUCGCUAUUGCUUUAACUACGCUAUGUAAUAUUGGAAUUUGUUGCUAUGUCAAACGUCUAGAGGACCAGGUUGCCCGGAAAAUAUUUCAUCAGUUAGAAUUAUGAGGGUACUGGUAGAAACAAUAGACUUAGACGGGGUAGAUGCAUGCGUAGUAACUAUAACUACUGAAGAAGGGGGGCAUAUCCUGGACUACCAAGAUAUGAGGGGUGGAUUCUUUUAUCGCCGUAUAGAGCGACACCCUGACCGUGUAAAUAUGCUUAUAGCCGCGGUGUAACCGACCAUCAUUCAUUUGUUUAUGCUAAUUUAUUAAUAAAUUAGAGUUGAUUUGGUUUAAAACACCAGGAGUGGAAUGUAAUGUUGUUUUUAACCUCAUCAACUAACAUCAAGCUGCAAGGUAACAUAAAUCGGAAUGUGUUAAGUUUGCACAAGGCCUAAUUAAUUAAUCAGGACUCGGCUUGAUGUGGUUGAAAGCACCAGGAGUGGAAUGAAGGGGAAUAUUGGAAUGUGUUGCUUUCAACCUAUCAAGCUGACUCCGCAAAAUAGUGAACAUAACAUGUUUUCUCGUCAAACCGUGUGAAGGGAAUGUGUUAUUCAACCUAUCAAGCUGACUCCGCAAAAUAGUGAACAUAACAUGUUUUCUCGUCAAACCGUGUGAAGGGAAUGUGUUAUUCAACCUUAUCAAGCUGCAAGGUACAGCCUGAAAGGGAGUAAGGAUUCUCGAAGGCCGUAGGCCGUGCGAAACGUCUAAGGGAGAUCCAAACAUUCUCAGAAGCCGUGUGAAACUCGAACGGGAGGGGAAGUUACGAGGCGCGGUACUUGCUAUAAAGAAGCGAUGGCGACAAGUACAAUUAGAGUCCGCUGUGGGAUUACGCGCGGUCGCCCAGCCUUGGUAUUUCUUCGCUCACUAUUACUGAGGACGCCCGGCUCUCCGUCCUUCCAGCACACGGUAAUGAGAUUUAUGUUAUUGCAUGUAAUCUAUGAGCUGAAAUACAUUUGUUGCUUGCUUGCUUGUACACUUUAUACUGUGGGUUAAAUAAAAUGUGCCGCUUGUUUAA